rnacentral:rRNA from 1 species
AGUUUGAUCCUGGCUCAGGAUGAACGCUAGCGACAGGCCUAACACAUGCAAGUCGAGGGGCAUCGGGGCGAGGAGCAAUCCUUGCCGCCGGCGACCGGCGCACGGGUGAGUAACGCGUAUGCGACCUGCCCGUUGCAGGGGGAUAAUCGGGAGAAAUCCCGUCUAAUACCGCGUAACGCCGCGGGGCUGCAUGGCCCUGCGGCCAAAGGAAGCGAUUCCGGCAACGGAUGGGCAUGCGUGACAUUAGCUAGUUGGCGGGGCAACGGCCCACCAAGGCGACGAUGUCUAGGGGUUCUGAGAGGAAGGUCCCCCACACUGGUACUGAGACACGGACCAGACUCCUACGGGAGGCAGCAGUGAGGAAUAUUGGUCAAUGGGCGCGAGCCUGAACCAGCCAAGUCGCGUGAGGGAUGACGGCCCUACGGGUUGUAAACCUCUUUUGUCGGGGAGCAAAUUCCGCCACGUGUGGCGGAGUCGAGAGUACCCGAAGAAAAAGCAUCGGCUAACUCCGUG